rnacentral:rRNA from 1 species
UACGUAGGGGGCUAGCGUUGUCCGGAUUUAUUGGGCGUAAAGAGCGUGUAGGCGGCCAGGUAGGUCUGGUGUGAAAACUCGAGGCUUAACCUCGAGAUGUCAUCGGAAACCAUCUGGCUAGAGACCGGAAGAGGAGAGUGGAGUUCCUGGUGUAGCGGUGAAAUGCGCAGAUAUCAGGAAGAACACCAAUGGCGAAAGCAGCUCUCUGGGACGGUACUGACGCUGAGACGCGAAAGCGUGGGGAGCGAACAGG